GACCUCAAAUCAGGUAGGACUACCCGCUGAACUUAAGCAUAUCAAUAAGCGGAGGAAAAGAAACUAACAAGGAUUCCCCUAGUAACUGCGAGUGAAGCGGGAAAAGCUCAAAUUUAAAAUCUGGCGGUCUUUGGCCGUCCGAGUUGUAAUCUAGAGAAGUGCUAUCCGCGCUGGACCGUGUACAAGUCUCCUGGAAUGGAGCGUCAUAGAGGGUGAGAAUCCCGUCUUUGACACGGACUGCCAGGGCUUUGUGAUGUGCUCUCAAAGAGUCGAGUUGUUUGGGAAUGCAGCUCAAAAUGGGUGGUAAAUUCCAUCUAAAGCUAAAUAUUGGCGAGAGACCGAUAGCGAACAAGUACCGUGAGGGAAAGAUGAAAAGAACUUUGGAAAGAGAGUUAAACAGUACGUGAAAUUGCUGAAAGGGAAACGCUUGAAGUCAGUCGCGUUGGCCGGGGAUCAACCUUGCUUUUGCUGGGUGUACUUUCCGGUUGACGGGUCAGCAUCAAUUUUGACCGUUGGAUAAAGUCUGUGGGAAUGUGGCUUUUUCGGAAGUGUUAUAGCCCAUGGUCGCAUACAACGGUUGGGAUUGAGGAACUCAGCACGCCGCAAGGCCGGGUAUUUAUACCACGUUCGUGCUUAGGAUGCUGGCAUAAUGGCUUUAAUCGACCCGUCUUGAAACACGGACCAAGGAGUCUAACAUGCCUGCGAGUGUUUGGGUGGAAAACCCGAGCGCGUAAUGAAAGUGAAAGUUGAGAUCCCUGUCGUGGGGAGCAUCGACGCCCGGACCAGACCUUUUGUGACGGAUCCGCGGUAGAGCAUGUAUGUUGGGACCCGAAAGAUGGUGAACUAUGCCUGAAUAGGGUGAAGCCAGAGGAAACUCUGGUGGAGGCUCGUAGCGAUUCUGACGUGCAAAUCGAUCGUCAAAUUUGGGUAUAGGGGCGAAAGACUAAUCGAACCAUCUAGUAGCUGGUUCC
rnacentral:rRNA from 1 species